rnacentral:snoRNA from 1 species
UGUAUCCAAGUGACAGACCCAGGGCAGUUACUGUCUGCUGCUAAGGUUUUCACCAUUGAUACAAACAAAAGUGUCUUCAUACUUUC